UACGAAGGGGGCGAGCGUUGUUCGGAUUUACUGGGCGUAAAGCGCGUGUAGGCGGCAGGCCAAGUCGGUGGUGAAAGCGCCCGGCUCAACUGGGCGAGGUCCAUGGAAACUGGUCAGCUGGAGGACGGUAGAGGCGAGUGGAAUUCCCGGUGUAGUGGUGAAAUGCGUAGAGAUCGGGAGGAACACCUGUGGCGAAGGCGGCUCGCUGGGCCGGUCCUGACGCUGAAACGCGAAGGCGUGGGGAGCGAACGGG
rnacentral:rRNA from 1 species